CAGAGGUAAUGGAGGACCCAUCAUAUAGGGCCUUAUAGACCUUAACAGAACUUUGUCUUUGGUUCUAUUUGAGAUGAGAAGUUGUUGACAUCAUCUGCAUUAUGAUUUAAUAAGAUGACUCUGGGCACUGUGUUAACAAGAGACUGAAAGGGAUAAGAGUAGAAAUGGAUAACCAGUUUGGAGUCUACUGUAGCAAUUCUGGUAACAGAUGAUGAUUUGGGCCAGUAACAGCAGAAGUGAACAGAUGUGGUAGAUUAUGGUUAUAUUGUGAAGGCAAAUCUAUUUGAACUUUUUUAUGGUGUGAGAAGGAAAGAAGAAGCAUGGACGACUCUAAAGGAAACUUGAUUUGAUGUGAACUAAAAAGGGGAAGAAAAGUGAAAAGCAGGAAAAGUUCAGAGACCUGCUUUAGACAUGAUAAAUUAAAUGUACCCAUGAAACUCCAAGGGCAGAUGUCAAGAGAGCAGUUGCAUGUAUUUGUCUGGAUUUCAUGAGAAAGAUCCAGAUUGAUAAUCAUUAAUGUGUUAUUAGGACUUAAAACGAAGACGUUCAAUAAGAUUACCAAAGAAAUGAGUGUAACUAGAGAAAAGAAGAUCAUGUACUGAGCUGAGGAACACUCCAAUAUUAAAAUGAGGGAGGUAGAGUGGAAUCAGUAGACUAAGGAAUGAUCAAUAAGGAUGAUGAAAACCAGGAGAGAGUGGUGUCUUGAAAGCCCAGUGAAAAAAGCACUUCAAAAAGAAAGGAAAUACGUGAUUUAUCAGGUUGAAUGCUGCUGAAGGGGCAAAUAGGGAUUGAGAAUUUGACCUCUAGAUUUAGUAACUUGAAACCAUUGUUGACAAGAGCACCUUUGCUAAAAUGAUAGAAACAAAGACAUAAUAUGAGUGGGUUUAAAAGAGAAUGAGAAAGGAGGAACUAGAAGUAGAGACUAUAUGCCAUAUUUUUUAGGGGUUUUGUGGUAGAGGAGAGCAAAGAAAUGGAGCAAAGCUACACGGAAAAACAAGAGUAACUGCAAGAAAUCUGGACACAGUACACGAAGCAAGCCAAACUUUGAGAGAGCAGCAGAAUCAUCAAUGCCAGACAAUGACAAAAAGGAACGUAAAAUCACUGAUGCCCAUUUCCCAAUCUUAAUGCUGAUUCCUUUGAUGAAAAGGAAAGUGGAGGAUCAGAUUCAAGGACAGGAGAUCAUCUGAGCACUGAGAGGCACCUUCUGUGACUUUUGAGGCUGUAGUUGCUAAAGAAUUUCUCCAACUGGAUACACAGAUAUUUUGCCCUUUUUGGAAACUGAAGAUAAAACAGAAAAAAAUAGAAUUUUAAGAUAUAAAUAUUUCUUCAUUAACAUGUUAAUCUAGCAAAACUCACAUAAGAAUGGCCACCUGGAAUUUCAUGAAAUGUUGCCACAGAACAAUACUAAAAACUGAAUGAUUAUGCCUUUUUCCAUAUUUUAAUUAAAGCUGAAAUGAAAAUACUCACUGUUGGAAAGUAAAGAAAUUAAGCCAUA